rnacentral:tRNA from 1 species
AUCGUUGUAGUAUAGUAGUGAGCAUACUCACUUAUCACGCGGGUGUCUCGGGUUCAAUCCCUGACAAUGACG